ACUACUUCAUCCUAGAAGCCCUCGGGAUGCACGUUUCACUGGAAGAAAGGCCUAGCUUGGGUAGGUCCCUAGAAAGAGGGGAUACCCCUGGAGGAGGGGGUAUCCUAUUACCCCCACUCUCUAAAAGGAAGGAUGGAAAUGUACAUGCUACCCAAGGACAUUCUUCUAGAAGAAGCCUGGCUCUUUAUAUAUGUUGUCAUUUUAUCCUCACAGCAACUCCAAGAGAUGUUUUACAAAUAAAACAGGUCUCAGCAAGGCUAUGUGGGUUGUCCAAGAUCACAUUACUAAUAAUAAAGAGUAGAGCAGGUAUUUGA
rnacentral:lncRNA from 1 species